GAUCCUGGCUCAGGAUGAACGCUAGCUACAGGCUUAACACAUGCAAGUCGAGGGGCAGCAUUGGGAUAGCUUGCUAUCCAGAUGGCGACCGGCGCACGGGUGAGUAACGCGUAUCCAACCUUCCCUAUAGUAGAGAAUAGCCCGGCGAAAGUCGGAUUAAUGCUCUAUGUUGUGUUUUGAGGACAUCUGACGAACACCAAAGGUUCACCGCUAUAGGAUGGGGAUGCGUCUGAUUAGCUUGUUGGCGGGGUAACGGCCCACCAAGGCGACGAUCAGUAGGGGUUCUGAGAGGAAGGUCCCCCACAUUGGUACUGAGACACGGACCAAACUCCUACGGGAGGCAGCAGUGAGGAAUAUUGGUCAAUGGGCGAGAGCCUGAACCAGCCAAGUAGCGUGCCAGGACGACUGCCCUAUGGGUUGUAAACUGCUUUUAUCAGGGAAUAAAGUUCGGCACGUGUGCCGUUUUGUAUGUACCUGAUGAAUAAGGGCCGGCUAAUUCCGUGCCAGCCGCAGC
rnacentral:rRNA from 1 species